rnacentral:rRNA from 1 species
GUGCCAGCAGCCGCGGUAAGACGAACCGUGCGAACGUUGUUCGGAAUCACUGGGCUUAAAGGGCGCGUAGGCGGUCGAUCACGUCCGGGGUGAAAGCUUUCGGCUUAACCGGAAAAGUGCCUUGGAUACGGAUCGGCUUGAGGGAGGUAGGGGCAGGUGGAACUUCCGGUGGAGCGGUGAAAUGCGUUGAUAUCGGAAGGAACGCCGGUGGCGAAAGCGACCUGCUGGAUCUCUUCUGACGCUGAGGCGCGAAAGCUAGGGGAGCAAACGGGAUUAGAUACCCCCGUAGUCC